CUCUGCUAUAAGAACUCAGGAAAAAUUUGAACAUUGCAGUAAUUUUCCACCAUUUCUUUGCAAUGGUCAAGUUGAAGCUUCUGGCAGCGGCACUCAUUCUCUUUGCUGCCAUCCACACAACAACCGCUGACUGGGAUGAUUGGAAUAACUGGCGAGACUUGAGGCGCCGUUGGAGAGAUUGUCCGCUGCAGUUUCGCAUCCCAGGACCCCCUUAUUGCUAUCGCUACUGGCAAUAUUUUAAUAACUUGGAUCCCUGGUUUGGACGCUCCAUCACUGACAACUGGCAGCGUGAUAGAUGGGACAAUAGAUGGCCCAUCAGGCGCAGGGAUCACGGCGAUCGCGGUCACGAUUGAUCAUGAUGCAAUUAUUUUUUGUUAAUCUCGAAGCUUAAAAAUAGAAAUAUGGAAGUUAAAAUAAAAAGCCAGAAACUAAACAUAAAAAUAACAAACUUUUUUUUUUUUUUAGAUGCAUUAUUAAAAAAUUAAUAAAAUAAUAUCUUGAAAUAUGAUAAAGUCAUCAUUUGCUAGUUUUCUAAAUGAGAAAACUUAAUUAUUGUUGUGUAACGUCAAGGUUGGUGCUGCUUUGCUUAAUUCUGAUGCGUUAUUUUGGCAAUGAUUACAUACAGCGUCAGCGGGAGGUAUUUUUAUUUUCAACGCAGCUAUGGAGGCUUUAAAAGCGGUGUUAAUGUUCCUGGUCGUCUCACUCUCGACACUCAGGGCAUGGAGAACAAAAGCUGGUUGCUGCUGCUGGUGCUCGUCGGCCUCUGCUCAAUGGUCGUCGCCAACGGCUCUGGAUGGUACAUUUCCGACCCCGGGCACUACAAGCGGUGGCGCAAGUGGCCUAAGCGCUUUGACACAUGGUACGCGUGGCGCUGGAACCACGACAGCAUUGUAGACUUUGACACCGUGCCCAAGCCAAAGGAUCAUCUGUACUGACCAAGCCUAUUUAUGUAUCUCAAUUUUGCAUGCUACACGAUUCGCGAAGUCUGUCUCUAAAAAGGUGGAACUGCAAAAUGCAAACCAAAAAUUUAUUAAAAAAAUACUAGAUUAUAUAUUUUUAAAAUAUAAUUUUUAGCAGUUUGUAAUUUUUUUUAAUAUCUGAAGAAUUUAAUUUAAAAAUUAAAUGUAUAAAAAAAAAACUAAUUAUAAUAAAAAACUACUGUCAAAAUCUA